AGAGUUUGAUCCUGGCUCAGAACGAACGCUGGCGGCGUGCUUAACACAUGCAAGUCGAACGCGAAAGGGACUUCGGUCCUGAGUAAAGUGGCGCACGGGUGAGUAACGCGUAGAUAACCUGUCUUUAUGUCUGGAAUAAUACGCCGAAAGGGGUACUAAUACCGGAUAUUUUUGCAUUGCACAAGUGAUGCAAGCAAAGGUGGCCUCUGACAUAAGCUACUGCAUAAAGAGGGGUCUGCGUACCAUUAGCUAGUAGGUGGGGUAAAGGCCUACCUAGGCUACGAUGGUUAGCGGGUCUGAGAGGAUGAUCCGCCACACUGGCACUGGAACACGGGCCAGACUCCUACGGGAGGCAGCAGUGAGGAAUAUUGCGCAAUGGGGGCAACCCUGACGCAGCGACGCCGCGUGAGUGAGGAAGGCCUUCGGGUCGUAAAGCUCUGUCAAAGGGAAAGAAGUGCAUGGAGGUUAAUACCCUUCAUGUUUGACGGUACCCUUAAAGGAAGCACCGGCUAACUCCGUGCCAGCAGCCGCGGUAAUACGGAGGGUGCAAGCGUUGUUCGGAAUUACUGGGCGUAAAGGGCGCGUAGGCGGUUUGAUAAGUCAGAUGUGAAAGCCCACGGCUUAACCGUGGAAGUGCAUUUGAAACUGUCAGACUUGAGUACCAGAGGGGAAAGUGGAAUUCCCGGUGUAGAGGUGAAAUUCGUAGAUAUCGGGAGGAAUACCGGUGGCGAAGGCGACUUUCUGGCUGGAUACUGACGCUGAGGCGCGAAAGCGUGGGGAGCAAACAGGAUUAGAUACCCUGGUAGUCG
rnacentral:rRNA from 1 species